UCCAUCUGAAAUUAUACUAGCAUACAUGUAUAUUGUAAACUUAACAAUGUGUUUAAUCUUAUAAAUAAUGAUCGAAGUUCAUAUAAAUUCAUGAUCUUAAUUAAUUCAACAUGGAAUGCUUCAAAUUUAUGUGAUCGAAAGUUCUGAUUUUUACAUAGUACAGGCACUUAAUUAAUAGGACUAUUAGGUUAACAUUAACACAAAAAUUCAUACCUCGAACUGCUAACAAAAUGGCGUCGAAGAUUCAGGCCAGGGAAACCAAGAUCUGGAGGUUUUCAUGCUUAUGCAUUCUCCCUCAAGGUAUUUACUAAAAUCUUUUCUUGGAUCCUUUAUACAGGAGAGUGGAAUCGCAUUAAAUUCAUCUUCACCCACUCAUACAACGAUGGCGUUAUGAUUUCAAUACAUGGCUGUUGAUCAAACGAAAUUUUUCCCGCGUGCAAUACUUCCGUCUGCGAUGAAUAUUAAACUGGUACCCUUAUCGACCUCGCCUAUUUCGUAUGUAGGUAGCAUCGAUCAGCGGGGAACCAGUUUACAAAUAUUUAAAAAAAUAUAUUGUCAAAAGUAUUAUAGCUCUUAAAAUAAAGGAUAUAUUCCAAUAUUUCUCCUAUAAAUUUUUUUUAUCGAUUUUUUUAAUACUUUGUAAUUGAUUGACAACUUCCGUCAACAUCAGAAGAAAACACAGAAGAUGGAGGCCGGAGGGGCAGUGCAGUGAGAAGAUUCUGCCUUACUUAACAUUAAGUCAUUCUUAGGAGAACUUCUUAGUAGAUAAUAAGCAGGCUGACUCUUUAUAAAUUGGGAAGAGGAAGGAGUCGGAACUGUACAUUCUGGAGGGAGUGGCUUGUGCUGAGUUUUAUUUUUUAAGGAAACUUCCAUUCAACAUGUUCAACAACAGAAAAUUUGUGAAUUAACCCACUGUAGAGUGCCAAAAUCUGUUGCAACAGAAUUAUAGUUGCAGAUUAAUCUAAUAGAUCUGCCUGUGAUGACCAUGAUUGGAACUAUAUCUUGUUUAGUAAAUGGACUUAAAUAAUGAUCAACUCCAAAAAGUACCAAAAACUGUUACAACAGAAUUGCUACAGUAUAGAUGCCUGUGAUGACCAUGAUGAUCGAGACUAAUAUUUUUGAUGAAGUGUUAAAGUGUAUACACAGACACAAACAUGGGCAUAGUUAAUUUGUUUUGCAUUAUAUAAUGUCCAUUAUGGGUUGAUUUCAUUGUCAUGUCAUAUAUUAUGAUUAUAGUUUAAAUAAUUUAUCUCCAA